UGGUGGCUCUAAAGAAAUAAAAAACAAAGAAUCAGACAAGUGAUAAAACAUCACAUCAUGGUUAGCAAAAUACAGAAAAAACCCAACUACUUCAGCAGAAGUUUCUCACCUCCGGCGACCGAUCUUAGUUUCUCCAGGACACCAUGGAGCCUAGAGAAGGAACAAAGAGAGGUCUUCAGUCAUCUGCUGGGAGGUUUUCUUGUUUGCCACCAUCACCAUAAUAUAGUCA